GGGCAUAGCAGGGCAUGCCUGCAAUCCUUGCCACCACAGGAGGCUGAGGCUGAUGGAUCACUUGAGCUUGGGAGUUUUCAGCUGCAGUAGGCUUAAAGCCAAUUGGGUGUCUGCAUUAAGUCUGGCACCAAUAUGGUGAACUCCUGGAAUCAAGUGACUGCCAGGCUACCUAAGAAAGUGUGAACAAGCACAGGUCUGAAAAAAUGAAGCAGGUCAAAGCUUCUCCUGAUCAGCAGUGGGAUUAGGCCUGUGAGUGACCACUGUGCUUCCAUCCUGAGUAAGAUAGAGAGACCCAUCUCCAA
rnacentral:SRP_RNA from 1 species